rnacentral:tRNA from 1 species
GGGUCCUUAGCUCAGUGGAUAGAGCAACCGCCUUCUAAGCGGUCGGUCGUGCGUUCGAGCCGCACAGGACCCG